GCCAUCUUUGCCAAACACAACUCUCCCUACUUUGCCAACAAUUUCAAAUACUACUAUCUUAAGGUCACUUUGCCUCCUAUGCCUUCUAUUCCAAAUAUUACUUCUCCAUCGAACUAAUUUUGAGUUGUUGCAUCACUAUUUACAUGUACCUAUUGUUUAGGGAAAUUACAUAUUCCCCCUUUAGAAUUGACCUGUUUUUCAAGAAUAAGACCUAAACUUUGCAGGAUCCCCUAUAUUUGUUCAGGAUGAUAUAAAUACCACUUUUUACGACUAAUUCUAGAUUCAAGGAAUGUUGUAUGUUUCACGCACCAAUAAUAAAUUGCCACGUAACUUUUCCCUUUCUAAUGUUGUUUUUAUUUUCUUUUGUUUUCUAUUUUUAUUUUUUAUUUUAUAGUCUUCUUAAUACAAUGUUUAUCUUCUCCUCCAAGGUACUUUUCCCUUUCCGAUGGGUCCUUUCCGACUAGUCGAUUUUGUUAUUUUCUUCUUUUUUCUUUUCUUUUCCCCUUCUUUUCAUUCUCUGCAAUUGGUGAAAUUUCAGAUCUCCAAGUAAGUGACUGCUUCAAAUUUUAGAUCUUUGUACUUGGUCCCCAUUUUUUCUGGCAAAGAGUUCGUCGUAAUUUUGUUAGCAUGGUGAAUUUUGAAGAAUUCGCAGAAAAUCCGAGUAAUUCAGCACCAUCAAACUAUUGCACAAAGAAAAAAUAUUAACAAGCACCAAAAUUAUCAAUAGAAAGAAACUCUAUUUAGAUUCUAAGAAAAACGGAGCGCCCCAACGCAAAACCUGAGUAAAAGACUGAAUGCGACAGAAAGUAACCUUACUAGAAAAAAAAUAGAUCUUGUUUAUAUUAUGUUUGCGGAUUAAUAAUGGCGAAGAAAAUGGGAGAAAAAGAGCGUAAUGAAGAAGGAGAAGGCUGAAGGAAGCCAUGGUUUUACGCCAAAGAGAAACAAGAAAAGAAAAAGAAAGAAAGAGAAAAAAAAAAAAAAACUAGAAAAAUAGUAGUAGUAUUUAAUGAGAGAAAUGCUGAUAAAAAUAACUUAUUAAUAACUUUUUUACCUCCCACUCUCUUCAAGAGAGGGAUUUCCACUCUCUAUGCCACAUCAGUUUAAAAGAUUGUAUUUAUUACGCAUCUAACAAGCACAUGAAGGUUAUAAAACCCUCUCAAAG
rnacentral:lncRNA from 1 species